rnacentral:rRNA from 1 species
AACAAAACGCUGGCGGCAGGCUUCAUACAUGCAAGUCGAGCGGAAAGGCCCUUCGGGGUACUCGAGCGGCGAACGGGUGAGUAACAGGUGGACAAUCUGCCCUCUGGCGGGGACAACAGCUGGAAACGGCUGCUAAUACCGCAUGUGGUUGCAUGCCCCAGGGUGUGCAAAGAAAGGCGCGUUUGCGUCACCAGAGGAUGAGUCCGCCCCCCAUUAGCUAGUUGGUGUGAUAACAGCGCACCAAGGCUUCGAUGGGUAGCCGAGCUGAGAGGUUGAUCGGCCACACUGGGACUGAGACACGGCCCAGACACCUACGGGUGGCAGCAGUAGGGAAUAUUGGACAAUGGGCGAAAGCCUGAUCCAGCCAUGCCGCGUGAGUGACGAAGGUCUUCGGAUUGUAAAAC